GAAAUGCGAUAAGUAAUGUGAAUUGCAGAAUUCCGUGGAUCAUCGAAUCUUUGAACGCACAUUGCGCCCUCUGGCAUUCCGGGGGGCAUGCCUGUCCGAGCGUCAUUACGCACCCUCAAGCCCGGCUUGUGUGAUGGGCCCCGGCGUCUCGUUCGCGAGACGGGCCCGAAAGGCAGCGGCGGCGUCGACCCGAUGAGCCCGAGCGUAUGGGGACUUCUGUCACACGUUCGCGGUGCGGACCGGCGCCUGCUUGACUUUUCUGAUUAUCCAGGUUGACCUCGGAUCAGGUAGGGAUACCCGCUGAACUUAAGC
rnacentral:misc_RNA from 1 species